rnacentral:rRNA from 1 species
AGCGAACGCUGGCGGCAGGCUUAACACAUGCAAGUCGAGCGGGCCCUUCGGGGUCAGCGGCAGACGGGUGAGUAACACGUGGGAACGUACCCUUCGGUUCGGAAUAACUCAGGGAAACUUGAGCUAAAUACCGGAUACGCCCUUUGGGGGAAAGGUUUACUGCCGAAGGAUCGGCCCGCGUCUGAUUAGCUAGUUGGUGGGGUAAUGGCCCACCAAGGCGACGAUCAGUAGCUGGUCUGAGAGGAUGANCAGCCACACUGGGACUGAGACACGGCCCAGACCUCCUACGGGAGCAGCAGGUGGGGAAUAUUGGACAAUGGGCGCAAGCCUGAUCCAGCCAUGCCGCGUGAGUGAU